AUGAAUAUCCUUUUGGGCAGGAAAGGACACACAGAGGUUUCCAGGGCUGCACAAGGGAAGAACAGAAAUCAGCCAGCCAGUCAGUCCAAUUACAGCACAUGGAGACUACCGCUGUCUUUCAUGAAGGGCAUGAGUGAGAAAUGGAAAAAAAAACCUCUCAUUUGUGUGACAAGAGUUUCAGAGAGAAAAGAGAAUGAGACUGUAUCAGCAGGUGCCUCUGAAGGUGGCCCGCACAAGAAGCAGGAUCCUGACAGGCCUUCCCUAGCAAAUCAACUUCUAUCUGCUAACUGUGAGACUGGCCUCGCUGGGGAUAGUCUUGCUGCAGGGUCAGCAAAAUGGACAAAACAGCGGGUAUGCCGAUG
rnacentral:lncRNA from 1 species